UUCAAGGGGUGUUCACUGUUGUGGGCUGAGAUGAUACCCUCUAACCUGAUUCGGAUAAUGCCGACGUAGGGAUGGAU
rnacentral:ncRNA from 1 species